rnacentral:lncRNA from 1 species
CUGCCGCAUGUACUGUUCCCAUCCCUUCUUCGCUAUCUCGCCCAUCCUUCCUUCCUUCUUCUUCUGCUUCUCCUUCUCUUGGUCAGAAAGGAAGAAGUGCCCCCUCCUCUGGUCUUAAUAGGAUUCGAAUCAAGGGAGAAGUCGGCCGGACGCGGGGCUCGGGCGGAGAAACCAGCUCCGGUGGAACCGGGAAUUGGGCAUCUCCUAAAGAUCCUGAUACCAAGAUACCAGAAGACCUUUGUCUCUCACCACACUCGGACGCUGGUCUUCGCUCUCUUCAAGACGCAAGGCCUGCCGACCGCAUCUCAGAGUAUUAAAUAUCAGUUGUUUGCGACACGUGCAUGCACGUGUGAAUUGAAAUUGGAAAGAAAAAAUAAACAAGCAAGAACGAUUAAUUACUUUAACAAACAUCACUUUAUAACACUUACAUUCAUUGAUU